rnacentral:rRNA from 1 species
AAUUGAAGAGUUUGAUCAUGGCUCAGAUUGAACGCUGGCGGCAGGCCUAACACAUGCAAGUCGAACGGUAACAGGAAGCAGCUUGCUGCUUCGCUGACGAGUGGCGGACGGGUGAGUAAUGUCUGGGAAACUGCCUGAUGGAGGGGGAUAACUACUGGAAACGGUGGCUAAUACCGCAUAACGUCGCAGGACCAAAGAGGGGGACCUUCGGGCCUCUUGCCAUCAGAUGUGCCCAGAUGGGAUUAGCUUGUUGGUGAGGUAACGGCUCACCAAGGCGACGAUCCCUAGCUGGUCUGAGAGGAUGACCAGCCACACUGGAACUGAGACACGGUCCAGACUCCUACGGGAGGCAGCAGUGGGGAAUAUUGCACAAUGGGCGCAAGCCUGAUGCAGCCAUGCCGCGUGUAUGAAGAAGGCCUUCGGGUUGUAAAGUACUUUCAGCGGGGAGGAAGGUGUUGUGGUUAAUAACCGCAGCAAUUGACGUUACCCGCAGAAGAAGCACCGGCUAACUCCGUGCCAGCAGCCGCGGUAAUACGGAGGGUGCAAGCGUUAAUCGGAAUUACUGGGCGUAAAGCGCACGCAGGCGGUCUGUCAAGUCGGAUGUGAAAUCCCCGGGCUCAACCUGGGAACUGCAUUCGAAACUGGCAGGCUUGAGUCUUGUAGAGGGGGGUAGAAUUCCAGGUGUAGCGGUGAAAUGCGUAGAGAUCUGGAGGAAUACCGGUGGCGAAGGCGGCCCCCUGGACAAAGACUGACGCUCAGGUGCGAAAGCGUGGGGAGCAAACAGGAUUAGAUACCCUGGUAGUCCACGCCGUAAACGAUGUCUACUUGGAGGUUGUGCCCUUGAGGCGUGGCUUCCGGAGCUAACGCGUUAAGUAGACCGCCUGGGGAGUACGGCCGCAAGGUUAAAACUCAAAUGAAUUGACGGGGGCCCGCACAAGCGGUGGAGCAUGUGGUUUAAUUCGAUGCAACGCGAAGAACCUUACCUGGUCUUGACAUCCACGGAAGUUUUCAGAGAUGAGAAUGUGCCUUCGGGAACCGUGAGACAGGUGCUGCAUGGCUGUCGUCAGCUCGUGUUGUGAAAUGUUGGGUUAAGUCCCGCAACGAGCGCAACCCUUAUCCUUUGUUGCCAGCGGUCCGGCCGGGAACUCAAAGGAGACUGCCAGUGAUAAACUGGAGGAAGGUGGGGAUGACGUCAAGUCAUCAUGGCCCUUACGACCAGGGCUACACACGUGCUACAAUGGCGCAUACAAAGAGAAGCGACCUCGCGAGAGCAAGCGGACCUCAUAAAGUGCGUCGUAGUCCGGACUGGAGUCUGCAACUCGACUCCAUGAAGUCGGAAUCGCUAGUAAUCGUGGAUCAGAAUGCCACGGUGAAUACGUUCCCGGGCCUUGUACACACCGCCCGUCACACCAUGGGAGUGGGUUGCAAAAGAAGUAGGUAGCUUAACCUUCGGGAGGGCGCUUACCACUUUGUGAUUCAUGACUGGGGUGAAGUCGUAACAAGGUAACCGUAGGGGAACCUGCGGUUGGAUCACCUCCUUA